AUGAGCAAGAACCGCUUCCCAGAAACAGCUCUCCACUUCGUCAAUGCCUCGGGGAAGGGCCGUCCCUUGAUGCACCCCUCUUUCGCCUUCCUGCCCAGCCGCCGCCGCCUCCGUCUCUGUGACCGCUGCAACGGCCUCCUCCUCUGUCGUUUGUACGACGCCUCCACCCGAGGCUGCCGAUACGUCGUGUGCAAUCCUGCCACGGAGCAGUGGGUGGUUUUACCUGAGCACGGCCAGGCAAGCAAGGUUGGCACGGCGCGUUUGGGAUUUGAUCCGGUGGCGCUUUUAUAUCGCCGCGGUGGACACCAAGGGAGAAUCAUGCUAGAUUUGAUUUCUGAUAGUAAAUUGUACGUAGCUAGACAUCGCCUAGCACCCCGCUUCACCAAUGUCUCGGGGAGAUGCCGCCCAACGGUAGACACCACUCUCUCCUUACUGCCUAAUCACCGCCACCUCGAUCUCUUAGACUACUGCAACGGCCUCGUCCUAUGUGGCCGAUACGCUGCCAGGGGUGACGAUUGCCAUUACAUUGUGUGCAACCCCGCGAGCGAGGACUGUGUCAUGUUGCCGGACCGCGCAAGGCCAGCAUGUUUGCUGAUAAACAGGAAGAUGGAGAUGUACCAGUCUACUGUUUUCCUCAACGGCUGCUUGCAUUUUCGCGCCUAUGUCAGUAACUCAUCUCCUUGUCUAGCAGCGGUGGACAACGAGGGGGAAACAUGGACAACCUUCCCUAUCCCUGGAGGCUUGAGGUUCGUGCUCGGGCGGGCCAAAUCGGGGCCGGGGCGGAUCGGAGCUGAUGCUUCGAGUAGGAGAGGUCGGGAUUUAUCCGGGAUGUGCUCGCGGAUGGUGUUUGCGCUCCCUUCGCGUGGAUAUGGGGGCGGUGGCCCUAGAUGGCGGUCCGUAUGGUUGCUCUUCGGCGGCAUCAUUGUGGUGGUGGUGGCUCUCAUCCCGGGUUGGCUUCGACAAAGACCUUUGUCCCAUGUGGACUCGGCAGGGGCGACGCUCUGCGCCAUUCUCUCUAUUGGGGGAGGUGCCGUGGAGCUUAGGUUUUUCUCCCCUCCUCGCCCGCCGCCGCCGCCACCAUGUAUCGUGGGAGGAAGGUCAUGCUUCACCUCCUACCUGGUACCCGGCGCAGCAGCACCAUCAAUCACAGUCUCUCACCAGCGUGAUCGAUCGAGAUACUCAAGCGGAGAGAUGCUCUCGCGCGUCGCGGCGAGUUCGCUCCGGCGCUUCAGUUGCGUUUCCAGGCGCUGUCUCAGCGUCGCCGGCCACGCCGACCACCAGGCCCCUACCGACCACCGCGAGGAGCUCUCCCAACCAGGAGCGACUAGAAUAGAAGCAUGCCUUGAUCAAGUAUUGCUAGCGAAAACUGCAUCAACUUUGGUACAUGACGGGCAAGUAAGUUUGAAGGACUAUAAUAAUCAUCGCUCAACAAGCAUUGCCAUUAAGAACUGCAUGAAUGUUGCUGUCUUGACGGCACACAACAGUUGCCUCCAGAUGCAGUGCUUCUUGUUCAUCGAGCUUCUUGUCCUGGGAGAGUUCAGACGUAGCAAAUAUGAUUCAGUUAGCGCAACUCCAUUGAUAGCAGAGACUUCAAUCAAAUUGCAAGGUCUCUCGCCGGUGGCCCGCCUCCAUGGCCGGCCGCCACGAGGUCGUCUAGAUGCAUUCGCGGCCGAUCUCUUUUGCUAUGUUGGUUGUAACUUGCUAUCUUCUGGAUGCCGGUGGAGCUCAGAUACACAUCUGAACGAGCUCCGCUUGGUGCUAAAAAUCCACACACCAGCAAAAGCCAAGGCCGCCAGAUGCUAUACAAUGAGAAUUAACCACCGUGGUGACGCCUUCCGACGAGGUGGAAGAGGAUGCGAGAUGAUCCUAGGUCCUGAGAUUGACAGGAAACGACUAACCAGCCGCUGCCGGAGCCUGAGAUCGGGAGGCAACGAUGAGCAUACUGCGACGUGGAUCUUAAUACUUCACGAGAUCAGAUCUGCUCGGCCUCAAACAGGGCCGCCGGCGAAACAACUGGCAAGAGCCAUCGGAAAGUCGAUCCCCUCCCACCCACUGGCCGGCUUCUUCUACAACAACACGAGCAAGAACCGCUUCCCGGAAUCAGCUCUCCACUUCGCCAAUGCCUCGGGGGAGGGCCGCCCCUUAAUCCACCCCUCUUUUGCCUUCCUGCCUAGCCGCAGGCGCCUCCGCCUCUGGGACUGUUGCAACGGCCUCCUCCUCUGCCGAUUGUACGACACAGGCGGCAAAUUCCAGUACGUCGUGUGCAAUCCCGCCACGGAGCAGUGGGUGGUUUUACCCGACCCUGACCCCGGUCAGGAAGGCAAGGUGGGCACGGCGCGUUUGGGGUUUGAUCCGGCCGUCUCUUCACACUUCCAUGUGUUCGUAUUGCUGGUCGAUGCUGACCGCCACAUCACCGGAGCCGAUGUGUACUCGUCCGAGUCUGGCGGAUGGAUUCACAAGGACAAGGGAUGGGACAACAACGUCAGCCUUGCUGAUCCUCUCUCACUGACCGUCUUUCUUAACGGCUAUCUGCAUUUCCGCACUAUUUGCGAUCAGUGGCGUGUCGCUGCGGUUGACACCAAGGGAGAAUCAUGGUCGAGCUUCGAUACCCCUUGUGGUAUUUUCAGUGAUUAUUCGAAUCUUGGUCUCAUCCAACAGUCACAGGGCCGCUUGUAUUAUGUCAGCUUGAACAAUGAGUAUUGGGAUGGUGCUUAUAUUCAACUCGAAGUUUACGCUCUCAAGGGCUACACCAACAAAAAAUGGACAUUAAAGCACAGAGCACAAGGCUUAGAUGAGUUUGGAGGGGUCACUCAGGAUUACUUUGAAUGGACUGCGAUUGAUCCAGAAUUGACAUCAAUAUGCAUGAGACUGCUGGUGGUCAUGCAUGGGAGGUUGAUCUUUAAUAGGAGUCGAUCGUUUAAGCUAUGGAGCAGCAGCAGAGUUAAGCAUCUAGAUUUGAUUUCUGAUGCUAGACAUCAUCUAGCACCCCACUUCACCAAUGUCUUAGACUGCUGCAACGGCCUCAUCCUAUGUGGCCGAUACGCUGCCGGGGAUGACGAUUGCCAUUACAUCGUGUGCAAUCCUGCGAGCAAGCAGUGGGUCAUGCUGCUAGACCGCGGCAAGGCCGGCGUGGUGGCUGAUUCUACUGUUUUCCUCAACGGCUGCUUGCAUUUUGACGCCUACGGCGGUAACUCAUCCCCUUGUCUAGCAGCGGUGGACACCGAUCGAGGGAGAAACAUGGACAACCUUCCCUAUCCCUGGUCAUCUGUAUAA
rnacentral:rRNA from 1 species